CUACGGGUCGCUGCAGUGAGGAAUAUUGCACAAUGGGGGGAACCCUGAUGCAGCAACGCCGCGUGGAGGAUGACGCAUUUCGGUGUGUAAACUCCUUUUAUAUGUCAAGAAAAUGACGGUAGCAUAUGAAUAAGCACCGGCUAACUCCGUGCCAGCAGCCGCGGUAAUACGGAGGGUGCAAGCGUUACUCGGAAUCACUGGGCGUAAAGGACGCGUAGGCGGGUUGGAAAGUCAGGUGUGAAAUCCUACAGCUUAACUGUAGAACUGCACUUGAAACUUCUAAUCUAGAGUAUGGGAGGGGGAGAUGGAAUUAGUGGUGUAGGGGUAAAAUCCGUAGAUAUCACUAGGAAUACCUAAAGCGAAGGCGAUCUCCUGGAACAUUACUGACGCUAAGGCGUGAAAGCGUGGGGAGCAAACAGGAUUAGAUACCCGGGUAGUC
rnacentral:rRNA from 1 species